GACUGAGCAAGCGGAUGCCAGAGAAGCAGCACAGUGUGUGUGUGUGUGUGCGCGCGCGCAUGCGCACAUGUGUGUACCAGGACCUGGGUUCUGGUGAAUGUCAGCCCCACUAGCUGGUGUGUCCUGAGAGAAGGCCCCCUCGUGUAUGUAGAGCACUAGCCUUGAGUGAAGAAGCUCAGGGACAGUGCCCA